UCUCCUUCUCCUCUGCCGCCGCCGCUCCUCUCCAUCGGCCGACCAACUCCCACGAGUCAUCGCCUCUCGAUCCUCCUCCUCUGUGUGUGUGUGUGCUCGAUCCGGAUCCACCCCUUUCCUGGGUGCAGCUUAGAUGAGAGCUCCACUUUCCUGGGUGCAGCAUAGAGGAGAGGAUGGGCACGGCAAACAGAACUUGAACGCCGGAUGGAUGAAUACUGGCGCUGCCGGGCGCAGACAUCAUUCUCCUCCUGGCCGAGCUCCUCCACAACACCCCGUCUGCAACCCAUGUUUGAUGUGCCGCAGGCUGGAUGGGGACGCGUGGACCUCCUGCUCCUCCCGACCAAGCUUGAUUGUGUGUGCGACCUGCUGACGGCGCUCGGGGUGAUGGUGUUUGAGCUUUGAGGUAGGAUAGCAGGAGCGGUGACUAGCAUCAAGGAGGAGCAGCAAGAAGCAGCGACAACUAGCUAGCUGCUAGCAUGCGCCCCUCUCUCUCAUGUACAUGGAUUUGUAAUGGGAAAGUACUUUCUCGGUUCUUUCUUUAGUGUGAACCAUCUUUUGCUAUUCAUGAGCAUCCACCCACAACCUGUUUGAUGUUAUGCGUACAACAGACUGAGACACAUUUUAAUUUUCUGGUCAAACUCUUACCUCUAUUUAGAAAAUGAAAAUGAAGAAGCAUGUGUAUCUGAUGUCGGAUAUGCACCUUAAACAAGUGUACCUGAUGUUCCAAGCUUACAAUAUGAUCUACACUGAAGCCAAACCGAGCCAGGUGAAAUAGAAGUUGAUAGAUUAUUCCGGCGACAUGGCUUCAAUAUAUAUCAUUCGGAAAUAUGCUUGCGCGGCUCUGCCUAUAUGUUUACAACUUGCAAAUGGCCUGAUUUUAUCAGUUGUUGCUUGAUUAAAGAUCAACCAGUUUAUGUCUGACAUUUGUGUUUCUACAUUUAUGCAGUACCAUUCCAGAGCUCAAGGCAUCGGGUACGCUUUACACAUAGAGUCUCGCUCAGUUUAGUUUCCAUGUAGUGUUAAAUUCAGGUGAGCUAUAUUCAUUACAAAUAGUAAGCUAAAGUAGAUUAAAAAAAGAUGAUAGAUUUGCUCAAUCCAUGUUCAGUUGCUAAACUGACCAAGAGCUGCACUUCAAAGAGCCAACUGUUCAAUAUAAAUCAGCCAUAACUUUGUUAGUUUU